UGCGCGAGUCAUUGGGACCGCAUCGAAACCUAAAGGCGAAAUGAAAGUGAAGGCGACGCCUCGCGCGCGCCGAGGGCGGAUGGGCGCCGCACGUCGGCGCCCCGCACGCCCGGGGCGUCCCGCGCUCAUCGCGAGCGGGGGCGCACCCAGAGCGUACACGCUGGGACCCGAAAGAUGGUGAACUAUGCCUGGUCAGGACGAAGUCAGGGGAAACCCUGAUGGAGGUCCGUAGCGAUUCUGACGUGCAAAUCGAUCGUCGGAACUGGGUAUAGGGGCGAAAGACUAAUCGAAUCAUCUAGUAGCUGGUUCCCUCCGAAGUUUCCCUCAGGAUAGCUGGCGCUCGCCACGAGCGAGUCUCAUCCGGUAAAGCGAAUGAUUAGAGGCAUUGGGGUCGAAACGGCCUCAACCUAUUCUCAAACUUUAAAUGGGUGAGAUCUCCGGCUUGCUCGAACGUGAAGCCGCGAGAUUUCGGAUCAGAGUGCCAAGUGGGCCACUUUUGGUAAGCAGAACUGGCGCUGUGGGAUGAACCAAACGCCGAGUUAAAGCGCCAAAAUCGACGCUUAUGGGAUACCAUGAAAGGCGUUG
rnacentral:rRNA from 1 species